UCCCUCUGUCGAGAAACACUCCUUAGUCGAUCAAUAAUUUAUAAAAGGGGGGGACUGAGCCCAGCAAUCAUAAAUCCUGACAUUACAAAGCUGGGAGGAGAAGAAACUUUCACCUCCAACAAAUCUCACAACUCAUUAUCAGUUCUCAUUUAUCCUGAAUGUACAUUCUAUAUGAACAAAAUACAGGAAAUGAGCACAGGGAAGCACAACUCAUUAUCAGUUCUCAUUUAUCCUGAAUGUACAUUCUAUAUGAACAAAAUACAGGAAAUGAGCACAGGGAAGCACAACUCAUUAUCAGUUCUCAUUUAUCCUGAAUGUACAUUCUAUAUGAACAAAAUACAGGAAAUGAGCACAGGGAAGCACAACUCCAGAGAUGGAAAAAACUAAGAAAAAAAAACAAAGCAGUCAUGUUGAAUUAAAAAUAACUCACCAUUUUUCCUGCAGUUAUGUAGAAUAGAUGGCCUUUAAAGGAAUUAAUGAAACCUGAAACAGUUUCACCACAAGCGUUUACAUAUCAAAUUGACGUAAGUAAAGUAUCAUAGGCAUGGCUACAUGUUGAAAUCCAAAUACACUCACUUACCUUUGAACACAAUGGCAGUCUGCUUCAUGGGCCAGUUUAUAUGGUAUCAGGGUGAGGUGUAGUAGGUGUGGCUUUUCAAAUGACCUUUGACCAUUGACCAAGGGGUCGUGUAUGUUUUAUGAUGAUGAUCCUGAGGUAAAUGUUCAAUUUAAAAGUUUAUUUAAAUUUUGUUAAAGACAAUAAAAAUCUAACUACAUGUUUCUGAAUCUGCACGUCUAACAGUGGUUCAUAUAUUUGAACCACUGUUAGGCGGAUGAUUUGAGGCCUGAAUGCUGAUUGACUGAAAGCCGUGGAAUGUCAGACCAACAAAAUAUUUAUUUGUACCGCUCUAGUUACGUUGGUAACCAGUUUAUAAUAGCAAUAAGGCACCUCGGGGGUUGUAAUAUAUGGCCGAUAUACCAAAAGGCAAAGGGCUGUGUCCUAGCACUCCGCGUUGCGUCGUGUUUAAGAACAGCCAUUGUUUAUUGGCCAUAUACCACACCCCUUCGGGCCUUAUUGCUUAAAUAUAGCGUGUUGAUUUGUUAUUAUGCAUUACUGCGUCCAGGAGCGCCUUCUUACGGUUUUCCUGCAUGCUCAAGUCAUUGUGAUGCACUGGGAGAGGAGCGAGAACUCUCAUACAAUAAAACAACCUGAUCUCCGAAGUCCACGUUUUUAAUCUCAAUCACACACAGCGGAGCGGAGCAGCACCGGUUACAUUGGUGCCUUCUAGACCCGGAUUCAUCGAUGAUCAACGUCAGCUCGAUCACCGUGGAGCUGCUGCUCUAGAGACUGUUUACAUCAUGAGCAGCAGGCGGGUCUGAGUCUGCUGAUCAGUGUGAUCAAAGACCUCGUGGAAGACCUCAAUCUGAUAGGACACUGCUUCCUGGACUUGCUCAGCUGACCUGCCCUGCCAUUUUCACUGUCCGUCUGAGCUGGAUUCAAAUAGUAUUUGCUUUCUUUCAAAUAGUUUGAGCAUUUGAUUGAUCCGGUCUGAUGCACGGUUGCACAUUAUGGGACUAUUGGACGGCAGGUAAAGUAUUUUAAAAUUAAAGGGAUGUUUAUUUAAACCAGGUCUGAUGCUGAUAACCAUUUAUUAAAGAGACAUGCCACUUUGUUGGCAACACAUCUCUCUCUUUCUGUGUUUCCCACUCAAAGCUCCCAUCCAUCUGAACUAAGAUGUGACUGUUUUGAGUUGUUCAAUAUGUUGGGUGAUAUUCAACAAAUAAAUACGCUUUUUAUUGCUUUA